AUCUUCGGGGCAGGGUGAAAUUCCCUACCGGCGGUGAUGAGCCAAUGGCUCUAAGCCCGCGAGCUGUUUUUACAGCAGGAUUCGGUGAGAUUCCGGAGCCGACAGUACAGUCUGGAUGGGAGAAGAUG
rnacentral:ncRNA from 1 species